GAAUGAUUCAAUAGCUCAGCUGGUAGAGCACAACACUUUUAAUGUUGGGGUCCUGGGUUCGAAUCCCAGUAUCAUAUCA
rnacentral:tRNA from 1 species